rnacentral:tRNA from 1 species
AGCCCUGUGGUGAGUGUCACAUCAAAUUGCAAAUUUGAAGAAGUUCCUUUAGGUUCCAGGGCUU